rnacentral:rRNA from 1 species
AAUCUUCCGCAAUGGACGAAAGUCUGACGGAGCAACGCCGCGUGAGUGAUGAAGGUCUNCGGAUCNUNAAACUCUGUUGUUAGGGNCGAACAAGUAUCGUUCGUAUAUGGCGGUACCUUGACGGUACUUAACCAGAAAGCCACGGCUAACUACGUGCAAGCAGCCGCGGUAAUACGGAGGUGGCAAGCGUUAUCCGGAAUUAUUGGGCGUAAAGAGCGCGCAGGCGGUUUCUUAAGUCAGAUGUGAAAGCCCACGGCUCAACCGUGGAGGGUCAUUGGAAACUGGGAAGCUUGAGUGCAGAAGAGGAGAGUGGAAUUCCAUGUGUAGCGGUGAAAUGCGUAGAGAUAUGGAGGAACACAAGUGGCGAAGGAGACUCUCUGGUCUGCAACUGACGCUGAGGCGCGAAAGCGUGGGGGGCGAACA